rnacentral:rRNA from 1 species
GCUCAGAGCGAACGCUGGCGGCAGGCCUAACACAUGCAAGUCGAACGAUCCUUCGGGAUAGUGGCGGACGGGUGAGUAACACGUGGGAACGUGCCCUUUGGUUCGGAACAACUCAGGGAAACUUGAGCUAAUACCGAAUGUGCCCUUCGGGGGAAAGAUUUAUCGCCAUUGGAGCGGCCCGCGUCUGAUUAGCUAGUUGGUGAGGUAAAGGCUCACCAAGGCUACGAUCAGUAGCUGGUCUGAGAGGAUGAUCAGCCACAUUGGGACUGAGACACGGCCCAAACUCCUACGGGAGGCAGCAGUGGGGAAUCUUGCGCAAUGGGCGAAAGCCUGACGCAGCCAUGCCGCGUGAAUGAUGAAGGUCUUAGGAUUGUAAAAUUCUUUCACCGGGGACGAUAAUGACGGUACCCGGAGAAGAAGCCCCGGCUAACUUCGUGCCAGCAGCCGCGGUAAUACGAAGGGGGCUAGCGUUGCUCGGAAUUACUGGGCGUAAAGGGAGCGUAGGCGGAUAGUUUAGUCAGAGGUGAAAGCCCAGGGCUCAACCUUGGAAUUGCCUUUGAUACUGGCUAUCUUGAGUACGGAAGAGGUAUGUGGAACUCCGAGUGUAGAGGUGAAAUUCGUAGAUAUUCGGAAGAACACCAGUGGCGAAGGCGACAUACUGGUCCGUUACUGACGCUGAGGCUCGAAAGCGUGGGGAGCAAACAGGAUUAGAUACCCUGGUAGUCCACGCUGUAAACGAUGAGUGCUAGUUGUCGGCAUGCAUGCAUGUCGGUGACGCAGCUAA